UCAGAUGUUUAUUGAACCUGACUGCAUUCUGAAAUGGACAGCAGACACGAAAUAAUGAUGCUAGAUAUUGAAUUGUAAUUAUUAGUUUAUUUAAUAAACUUUGUUGUAUAUUAUCAUAUCUUUAUUUAGUGAACUUGGUCCACCUACCCCCCCCCCCCCCCUCCAAAAAAAAAAAAUCUGGAUCUGUUAUUCUUAUCUUCAUUUACUGAUGAAUAUUCUGGAAGUGUACUUGCAUUUGUGUUGUACAUGUACUAUUCCAACUCUUUCAAAAUGUUUAACUUCCCAACUAAAGGAGUGGGAAAACUUGGUGCUGAAUAAUUUUGUGUAUUUUGUUAAAUGAACUAUACAGUUAAACGAUGUGAUCUCAUACUUAACAGGAUGGAGAAAACAGAGAAUUUAAGAUAUAGUGGUGAUAAAAACACAAGUCUGGGUCCACGUAUCUAUGGUAAACAAGACAUUUAUGUUGAAGCUGUAUAUGAUAUAAAGUCUCCAUCAUUUUUAGUUUUCUGCAAUCAUUUUGGAUGUUUUGAUUCAUGGUGUGUAGCUUAACCAAUAGCAAUCUAGAAAUCAUAUUUAUAUGUAUAAAAAUCUACACAAAAUAGGAAUGUCAAACCACUUUUUAAGAAAAUACUUUUUUUUGCCAAAUUUAGUAGUGAGAAUUCUUUAUAAAGGGCAGCUCACAUGUAAUUACCAAAUGUUUAUCAUAGUACUCUGUAUGGUAGUUUAAAUUACAUGUAUAUACUGUUAUACACAUUGAGUGAAGUGUUAUCAAAUGUUGAUUGUUAUGUAAAACUAAAUGGUAUUAAAUUCUUUGAUUUAUCUAUUACAUGUACGAGAAAGAAAUGUGAUGUCAUAUCAAAAUAAGAAUAAAAAGUAAUAUAUAAUGUAUAGGUAUGGGAUUUGUAUCAUUAUGAAUGAUGAAAUGCAAACAAUAAAAAACAAAC
rnacentral:sRNA from 1 species